UACGGGAGGCAGCAGUGGGGAAUAUUGCACAAUGGGCGAAAGCCUGAUGCAGCUAUGCCGCGUGUAUGAAGAAGGCCUUAGGGUUGUAAAGUACUUUCAUCGGGGAGGAAAAAACAAAACUAAUAAUUUUAUUUCUUGACGUUACCCGAAAAAGAAGCACCGGCUAACUCCGUGCCAGCAGCCGCGGUAAUACGGAGGGUGCUAGCGUUAAUCAGAAUUACUGGGCGUAAAGAGCACGUAGGUGGUUUUUUAAGUCAGAUGUGAAAUCCCUGGGCUUAACCUAGGAACUGCAUUUUGAAACUGAAAUACUAGAGUAUCGUAGAGGGAGGUAGAAUUCUAGGUGUAGCGGUGAAAUGCGUAGAUAUCUGGAGGAAUACCUGUGGCGAAAGCGGCCUCCUAAACGAAUACUGACACUGAGGUGCGAAAGCGUGGGGAGCAAAACAGGGAUUAGAUACC
rnacentral:rRNA from 1 species